GUGUCUUUCUGCCCAUAAUAAGCUGCAUCAAACAGAUGAUCUGCUGUUUUUUCAAACUGAAAUAUAAUAAGCAUUCUCAUGAAGCUAAAUUUAAAACGGAUUCUUUCAUUUUCGCAAGGCCAUGACGUGUGAUGCCAAGAACUUCGCCUCUGCUUGUCAUUAGAUCAGCGACUAACAUCGGAUGUCGUCUGUCUAUGCUCAUACCGUGAUUUUCCAUGACUAACUUGAUUUCCGUCAUGAUUGUUGCUCGAGCUGCUUCUAUUCCUAGUGUUUUAAACACCUUAAGACAAAUAAACAUAGCUUACUUCCAUUGUAUUGUUGGAUGUGGUUUUGCUACCUAAGACGCCAGGUGUAGCCAUCACUUCUCGCAUAUUAUCACCUUCGACGAAUAAUCUGUAUCUGAUCUUCCCGCUAGAGUCAUCAUUGUGAAUUACCGCUCUAGCAACAGACGGCAGACCCUGUGAACGGAAAUAUUUUAGAAAUGAUUGAUUACUA
rnacentral:misc_RNA from 1 species